ensembl:lncRNA
CAGGGACCGAGCCUGCGUCUCUUGCAGAUUCUUUACCACUAGUGCCACCUGGGAUUUCACCAUUCAGAGACCUCAGAGUUCUUGGGUCCUGCUACCUCUGGGUGGGAGGUUAGAGGCAAGUUUCUGGAGCUCACUCUAACACACCCAGGGGCCCCACCCUGCCUGGAUGCCAGCCAGCACCAGUGCCAACAUCCCCCUGAGUCACUGCGCAGUGUGGGUGUGGUUUCCCGGUGACCCAGCCAAACAUCCGUCCCUGAGCUGAUGAAGCUGGAGCCGGGGCUGCAGCCCCGCCUUCCCCACCCUUGCCUGUGCUGCCCUGGGACCAGGCAAGUAAAAUGAUACAGGGCCCUGGGGAGCUCUGAAGCAGGUCAACAGGAGGAAGCACUUUUCCAGGACAAGUAUGUCCCAGGAGAAGACUCUUGAGGGUCCCUUGGACUUCAAGGAGAUCAAACCGGUCCAUCCUAAAGGAAAUCAAUCCUGAAUAUUCAUUAGAAGGGCUGAAGCUGAAGCUCCAAUCCUUUGGCCACCUGAUGCAAAGAGUCAGCUCGUUUGAAAAGACUCUGAUCCUGGGAAAGAUUGAGGGCAGGAGGAGAAGGUGGCAACAGAGGAUGAGAUGGUUGGAUGGCAUCACCGACGCAACGGACAUGAGUUUGAACAAGCUCCAGACUUGGUGAUGGACAGGGAGGCCUGGCGUGCUGUGGUCCGUGGGGUCCCAAAGAGUGGGACACGAUGGAGCGACUGAACAACGCCCCAGCUUGUGCUUCAUCCGGCCCAGCGUUAAGGUCAAGCAAACAUGAAAUCAAGAUCAGAUGACAAGCAUGUGGCGGAGAUGCAGUGAGUGAGAGAAGAGAGCGACACACAUCAAAUCGAGGCCCCCAGGACCGACCCCAAGAGGCCUGACUCGUCAGGACAGCGAAGCGGUCCCUUGGACGGAAAAGAGAUCAAACCAGUUAACACUAAAGGAAAUCAACCCUGAAGAGUCAUUGGAACAACUGAAGCUGAAGCUCCAAUACUUUGGCCACCUGAUGCGAAGAGCUGACACUGGAAAAGACCUGAUGCUGGGAAAGACUGAAGGCAGGAGGAGAAGGGCAGCAGAGGAUGAGGUGGCUGGAUAGAAUGACCAACUCGAUGGACAUAAAUUUGAGCAAACUCCGGGAAGACAGCGGAGGACAAAGGAGCCUGGCAUGCUGCAGUCCAUGGGAUCGCAGAGUGGGACACGAC